rnacentral:rRNA from 1 species
UACGUAGGGUCCGAGCGUUGUCCGGAAUUAUUGGGCGUAAAGGGCUCGUAGGCGGUUCGUCACGUCGGGAGUGAAAAACUCGGAGCUUAACUCCGAGCCUGCUUCCGAUACGGGCAGACUAGAGGUAGGCAGGGGAGAGCGGAACUCCUGGUGUAGCGGUGGAAUGCGCAGAUAUCAGGAAGAACACCGGUGGCGAAGGCGGCUCUCUGGGGCCUUACCUGACGCUGAGGAGCGAAAGCGUGGGUAGCGAACAGG